GCAUCACAUUGAAAAGAUAACACCUAAAACAAAACAAGCAAUGAAAAAAGACUUAUGGAGCAGGAUAUCUUCCAAGGAUGCCUUACAUUUAGUUUUAAAAAGGUAAUACAUAUACAUGUAGAUGCAAAAUAGGCAUGAAUGAUGAUGUUGAUAUGAAGGACACCACAACUGUACAUUUAAGGACAUCACCAGAGAGAAGUUCUUAUUGGAAAACUGAUUUUAACGAAAUUCAGAUACUUUACAUGAAGUUAGCUGCCAUUUCUUUUGGACAGUUUCUCUUUAUUCAUAUGAGCAUAAUCAGUAAAUUAAGUGAAGGUGGAAACAAUCAAACAGGAUUCACAUUAAAAGGUAGCAUUUUGAGGCGGCAAGGGCAACCAGUGCAGAUGAUAGACUAAAUCAGAUUGUCAAUUUUUCUUGUAUCAUCCUCCAAACCAUACUUAAUUGGAGACAACUUUUAAAACACUUAUACACAAAUCUAAGAUCUAAUCUUAUUGAAUGUUUCAAGGAUAAAAUCCCAGGAUUUAAGAACAUAUGUAAUUAUCAAGGAAGAGGAUGAAAAAAAUCAACUGUAUCUAAUUUUUAGCGAGAAGUAUUAGUGUUUUCUGUUUACGAGUAGACUACGAUGCAAAAGAUGAUAUGUUUGUUGUUAUCAGUUUAAAGCUGCCUUAUAAAAAAGAGUUAGCAAUCCAUCAUGGAAAUACUAAUGUGUUAAGCUCAGUUUGUUGCAGUGAUACGUCAUCAAUUUAACCUUUUGUUUUUAAGAAAGUAAUUCCAUCUCUUUUGUGCAAAGACUUGUAUCAUUUUUACCCAGGAAACAUAUACAUGUAUUAGUAAACUGAAAGUUAUUUACGUACGAGAAACCAUUAUUGGCAUAUUACACUGUUUUAAGUGAGUCACCAUCAUGCCCUAAAGGGUACGUAUUUUUAGAUCAACAAAUGUGAUUAAAAAUUAAGAAUCAUUGAAUUCAUAUUUGAUGUUUUCAAAUAAACACAUGGUUUAUGAAUGGACUCUAUAUAUAGAGAGAGUAUCUACAGUACGUCCCGUUUUGUAAUUUUAACAGUACAUAUAUAUAGUUCUAAGUUAUACAUGUACAUUUAUCAUUGUUAUGUACAUGUAGUUUAAUUUUUGUGAAUGUCGUUUGUGAAUUCAUGAUACUGAAUUUAAUAGAAUCAGUUUAGUGCGAAUAAUGUCUGUAUUACGUUUAGAUCUGCAAUGAGACUGUAGACGUUUUUAGUAUAUAUGUAUAUAAUUAGGUAUUCUGCUAAUUGCAAAAGUUUUCAAAAAUCAAUUUGUACUUAAUACAUUGUUUAUCUCCUAAAGCAGUUCUUAAAGCAAACAAAUAAGGUAUAUGUGUUAUUUUUUAUAAAAUUAUUUUGUGAUUUUUUUUCGAGCACUUAUUCAUUGAGUGGUAAUGAUCUAAUUAUGUUCUAUAGAGCGUAAAAAACAACGCUUAUUUAAAGUGUUAUUUUUAGUAUUAGUUGCAAUAGGAAUAAAAUUGAUAUUAAGUUAAGGAAGAUCAUUAAUAACUUCGAUAUGUACAAUUUUAAAAUAUCAGUUUUAUAACAUAUUCUCAUAUAUCUUCCUUUUAUUAAAUCAAUUAAAUAAUAAAUAUGACAUUUUUAUUAUUUUCUGAAAUGUGGAGAUGAACAAAUAGAUUUUAAACUUGUUCUGCUUCAAUAAACUUGUAUGAGAGCU
rnacentral:sRNA from 1 species